rnacentral:rRNA from 1 species
AUACGGAGGAUCCGAGCGUUAUCCGGAUUUAUUGGGUUUAAAGGGUGCGCAGGCGGCCAUUUAAGUCAGCGGUUAAAUCGUGGGGCUCAACCCCAUUCUGCCGUUGAUACUGGGUGGCUUGAUUGCGGUCGAGGUUGGCGGAAUUCGUUGUGUAGCGGUGAAAUGCAUAGAUAUGACGAAGAACACCGAUUGCGUAGGCAGCUGACCAGACCGCAAAUGACGCUCAUGCACGAAAGUGCGGGGAUCGAACAGGAUUAGAUACCCUGGUAGUCCGCACAGUAAACGAUGAAUACUUGUUUUCGGCGAUAUAAUGUCGGAGGCAAAGCGAAAGCGAUAAGUAUUCCACCUGGGGAGUACGCCGGCAACGGUGAAACUCAAAGGAAUUGACGG